CAUGCAGUCGAACGGCAGCACGGGAGCAAUCCUGGUGGCGAGUGGCGAACGGGUGAGUAACAUAUCGGAACGUGCCCAGUCGUGGGGGAUAACGCAGCGAAAGCUGUGCUAAUACCGCAUACGAUCUACGGAUGAAAGCGGGGGAUCGCAAGACCUCGCGCGAUUGGAGCGGCCGAUAUCAGAUUAGCUAGUUGGCGGGGUAAAAGCCCACCAAGGCGACGAUCUGUAGCUGGUCUGAGAGGACGACCAGCCACACUGGAACUGAGACACGGUCCAGACUCCUACGGGAGGCAGCAGUGGGGAAUUUUGGACAAUGGGCGCAAGCCUGAUCCAGCAAUGCCGCGUGCAGGAUGAAGGCCUUCGGGUUGUAAACUGCUUUUGUACGGAACGAAACGGUCUGCCUUAAUACGGUGGGCUAAUGACGGUACCGUAAGAAUAAGCACCGGCUAACUACGUGCCAGCAGCCGCGGUAAUACGUAGGGUGCGAGCGUUAAUCGGAAUUACUGGGCGUAAAGCGUGCGCAGGCGGUUAUAUAAGACAGAUGUGAAAUCCCCGGGCUCAACCUGGGACCUGCAUUUGUGGCUGUACAGCUAGAGUACGGUAGAGGGGGAUGGAAUUCCGCGUGUAGCAGUGAAAUGCGUAGAUAUGCGGAGGAACACCGAUGGCGAAGGCAAUCCCCUGGACCUGUACUGACGCUCAUGCACGAAAGCGUGGGGAGCAAACAGGAUUAGAUACCCUGGUAGUCCACGCCCUAAACGAUGUCAACUGGUUGUUGGGUCUUCACUGACUCAGUAACGAAGCUAACGCGUGAAGUUGACCGCCUGGGGAGUACGGCCGCAAGGUUGAAACU
rnacentral:rRNA from 1 species